CAUAAAUCAAUAAUAUUCGAGUAUGUCGUGAGCAUGAUGCAAUGCAAAAAGAUUCCUACCUAAACCAUCCAUUACACAGCACGAGUUUCCUAGAACCAGUCUGCCAAACUCCAACGUAUGUGAGUGAAACUUGAUGUGGUAGAAACAACCAUAUAACAUAAAUGCAAAAAAAAAAAAAAUUGUCAAAUAACAUAUAAUGCAAUAAAAUCACCAAUCCCCUAGGUACUCAGGGUGUAGUGCACUAACUACGUAUAAAUGUGGACUUAAUAUGCCGCCAGAACUCCACGGCACUCCUCUGUCAACAACAAAAAUAACC
rnacentral:lncRNA from 1 species